GACGAACGCUGGCGGCGUGCCUAAUACAUGCAAGUAGAACGCUGAAGGAGGAGCUUGCUUCUCCGGAUGAGUUGCGAACGGGUGAGUAACGCGUAGGUAACCUGCCUGGUAUCGGGGGAUAACUAUUGGAAACGAUAGCUAAUACCGCAUAAGAGUAGAUGUCGCAUGACAUUUGCUUAAAAGGUGCAACUGCACCACUACCAGAUGGACCUGCGUUGUAUUAGCUAGUUGGUGAGGUAACGGCUCACCAAGGCAACGAUACAUAGCCGACCUGAGAGGGUGAUCGGCCACACUGGGACUGAGACACGGCCCAGACUCCUACGGGAGGCAGCAGUAGGGAAUCUUCGGAAAUGGACGGAAGUCUGACCGAGCAACGCCGCGUGAGUGAAGAAGGUUUUCGGAUCGUAAAGCUCUGUUGUAAGAGAAGAACGAGUGUGAGAGUGGAAAGUUCACACUGUGACGGUAUCUUACCAGAAAGGGACGGCUAACUACGUG
rnacentral:rRNA from 1 species